rnacentral:rRNA from 1 species
GACGAACGCUGGCGGCGUGCUUAACACAUGCAAGUCGAACGGAAAGGCCCUGCUUGCAGGGUACUCGAGUGGCGAACGGGUGAGUAACACGUGGGUGAUCUGCCCUGCACUUCGGGAUAAGCUUGGGAAACUGGGUCUAAUACCGGAUAGGAGCCAUCUUUAGUGUGGUGGUUGGAAAGUUUUUUCGGUGUAGGAUGAGCUCGCGGCCUAUCAGCUUGUUGGUGGGGUAAUGGCCUACCAAGGCGGCGACGGGUAGCCGGCCUGCGAGGGUGUACGGCCACUUUGGGACUGUGAGACGGUCCAGACUCCUACGGGAGGCGGGAGUGGGGAAUUGUUGACAAUGGGCGGAAGCCUGAUGGAGCGAGGCCUCGUGGGGGUUGAAGGCCUUCGGGUUGGAAACACCUUUCGCUAGGGACGAAGCUUUUUUGUGACGGUACCUAGAUAAAAAGCACCGGCUAACUACGUG